UGAGGAAUCUUGCACAAUGGGCGAAAGCCUGAUGCAGCGACGCCGCGUGGGGGACGAAGGCCUUCGGGUUGUAAACCCCUGUCAGUAGGGAAGAAGAUUGACGGUACCUACUGAGGAAGCUUCGGCUAACUACGUGCCAGCAGCCGCGGUAAGACGUAGGAAGCAAGCGUUGCCCGGAAUUACUGGGCGUAAAGAGCUCGUAGGCGGGGGCGUGCGUCUGAAAGGAAAUCUCAAGGCUCAACCUUGGGGCUUUUUCAGAUACGGCGCUUCUUGAGGGUGAGAGAGGAAAGCGGAAUUCCAGGUGUAGCGGUGAAAUGCGUAGAUAUCUGGAGGAACACCAGCGGCGAAGGCGGCUUUCUGGCUCAUUCCUGACGCUGAGGAGCGAAAGCGUGGGUAGCGAACGGG
rnacentral:rRNA from 1 species